rnacentral:tRNA from 1 species
UGCCCCGUGGCGCAACCGGCAGCGCGUCCGGCUUUGGACCGGAAGGUUCCAGGUUCGACCCCUGGCAGGGCAA